rnacentral:lncRNA from 1 species
GGACAGAUAGUGUGAUGGUAAUAUUUUGUGACAGACCGUCUGUCGCAAAACGUCUAUUUUUACCGUCAGUUGUUUGACGCUAAAAUUGUGUCAUGGUGUAGUGGCCGGGCUCGAGGGCUCGGAUGAGUCGGAGUACUCCUCGGACGAGGAGAAUUCCUCCGACUCGUCCGAGGAGGGUGGCGGCGGCGACGGCGACGACGACGGAGGCGACGGUGACGGCGGCGGUGACAGCGGCAAGGGUGGCGGCGGCGACGGCAGUGGCGGCAGCAAGGGCAGCAGCAAGGGCAGCAACAAGGCCAGUGGCUAGACGCCACUAGUUUUAUAUGUUAGUGUAGAUUAGUAGUAGAAAUAGUAUUAGCGAAGUAAUGUAGUAGAAGCUAGUAGUAUAGUUAGUUAAAUGUAAUGUAGUAGAAGGGAAAGCAUCAGCUCAUAAUGAGUUGAUUUGUAAGUUCGGUAGUACUUCCCGUAUAAUGGAG